GACGAACGCUGGCGGCGUGCUUAACACAUGCAAGUCGAACGGUGAAGCGCCUUCCUUUUUGGUGGGUGUGGAUGAGUGGCGAACGGGUGAGUAACACGUGAGUAACCUGCCCCCUUCUUCUGGAUAACCGCAUGAAAGUGUGGCUAAUACGGGAUAUUCUGGGUCUGUCGCAUGAUGGGUCUGGGAAAGAUAUUGUUUCGGUGGGGGAUGGGCUCGCGGCCUAUCAGCUUGUUGGUGGGGUGAUGGCCUACCAAGGCGGUGACGGGUAGCCGGCCUGAGAGGGUGGACGGUCACACUGGGACUGAGACACGGCCCAGACUCCUACGGGAGGCAGCAGUGGGGAAUAUUGCACAAUGGGCGCAAGCCUAAUGCAGCGACGCCGCGUGAGGGAUGGAGGCCUUCGGGUUGUGAACCUCUUUCGCCAGUGAAGCAGGCCUGCCUCGUUUGUGGGUGGGUUGACGGUAGCUGGAGAAGAAGCGCCGGCUAACUACGUG
rnacentral:rRNA from 1 species